rnacentral:sRNA from 1 species
GUUGUGAGCUGCGGCAGAGACUGGUGGCUGGAGGAGACGCCGGCGCUGGAGAGUGCGCUGCGCCGCCGGCCGCUGAGGGACCGCGGGGUUCGCCGCUGCUGGCUGCUUCCAGUGUUCGCCGAGAGGUACCGGGGGUGACAGCUCUGGGACCGGCCGAAAGGCGAGGAACCGGAAGCGCGGGGGAGUGCGACCGCCUCAAAUCCAGCCUUCUCGUUUGGUGGGACGACCGUCGGUUCUGUCCGGGAGGAAUGACGGGGUCAAGAAAUUUUACUGCAGGAUAAAACUCCAGGAUAAAACUGUCAAGUGCCGGGCACGGUGGCUCACGCCUGUAAUCCCAGCACUUUGGGAGGCUGAGGUGGAUCACCUGAGGUCGGGAGUUUGAGACCAGCCUGACUAACAUGGAGAAACCCUGUCUCUGCUAAAAAUACAAAAUUAGCUGGGCAUGGCGGUACAUGCUUGUAAUCCCAACUACUGGGGAGGCUGAGGCAGGAGAACCGCUUGAACCUGGGAGGUGGAGGUGGCGGUGAGCCGAGAUUGCGCCAUUGCACUCCAGUCUGGGCAAUAAGAGCAAAACUCAGUCUCA